UACGUCGGGGGCAAGCGUUGUCCGGAAUCAUUGGGCGUACAGAGCGUGUAGGCGGCUCGGUAAGUCCGCUGUAAAAGUCCAGGGCUCAACCCUGGAAAGCCGGUGGAAACUGUCGAGCUAGAGUCCGGAAGAGGCGAGUGGAAUUCCUGGUGUAGCGGUGAAAUGCGCAGAUAUCAGGAGGAACACCAAUGGCGAAGGCAGCUCGCUGGGACGGUACUGACGCUGAGACGCGAAAGCGUGGGGAGCAAACAGG
rnacentral:rRNA from 1 species